UUACUUCUAGCUUAGAAGACACCAAGAUCCUUUUUGCAAUGUGUUAUGUUGGUGACUGGAUAGUUCCAGGGGUUAAUGAGAAGAUAUAAAAUCACAGUGAACCCAGUGACCAUCUCAACUCUAAUUCAAUGUGCAAACUGCCUUUGCAAGAGCCUGGAGAGAUUCCUGCUGGUCUCUGCAGGAUUUGGCUUGAGCUCUUCUGCAGGUAUUAGUUUAUGCCGGUGGAAGUAAACAGGCCCUUGGGGAUGGUGCUGCUGCCACUGAGCAGGCCCAACCACAUCCAGAACCUAGAUAAUAGUUGUGUUGGUAUCUCUGACAGCUUUGUUUAAACUCCCUUUUCUACUCUUCAAACAAGCUUGGAGCUCCACUUAUUCCCCUUCUAUUACGUAACUUAAGCAAAACUUGACUUGAGGCCAACAAUAUCGAAAAAAGGAGACAGAAAGCUUGGGCAGAAUAGGAAACAGGUUUCACAACAGCACAAUUUUCCCAAGGCAAUGGUCUUCUGCAGGUCAGUGACUUGCUUCAGGAGUCCCCCUCACUCUCCAGCACCAGCUACAGCUCCUGCUUAAAUGUU